GAGUCUCUGGGGGGUACUCCUAGAGGAAAGUGGCGAAAGGGGCAGUAAUGUAUGGGUAACCUACCUUGAGGUCCGGGAUAGCCAUUCUAACGGAUGGGUAAUACUGGACGGCCUGAGUUGUCGGCAUCGAUAAUUUAGUAAAGGUUACGCCUCGAGAGGGGCCCAUAUGAUAUUAGCUAGUUGGUGAGGUAAUGGCUCACCAAGGCAAAGAUGUCUAGCGGGUGUGAGAGCACGACCCGCGUCAUUGGCACUGAGACACUGGCCAAACUCCUACGGGAGGCUGCAGUCGAGGAUCUUCGGCAAUGGACGAAAGUCUGACCGAGCAACGCCGCGUGUGCGAUGAAGGCCUUCGGGUUGUAAAGCACUGUCGAGGGGAAACAAGCCGUAAGGUUGAGUGACCCC
rnacentral:rRNA from 1 species